UGCUGUUAAAAAGCUCGUAGUUGGCUCAAGAGUUGGACAGUGCACGGUGGCCCUGUUUGUUCGUCUGGCUCCGGUCAGGCGGGCGGCAGCGGAACAACCCCGUGCGCCAAACUGUCCACUCUAACAGACCGAAGCGGUUCCCUGUGAGUAGGCUCCUUAAUUGGGGCUGAAAGCGCCAACGCAUCAACCAUAUGCAUACGGGACGUCGGUCAAAGUUACUGUGAACAAACCAGCGUGUCCAAAGCAGGCUUUCGCCUGAAUGUUCGAGCAUGGAAUAACAAGGGAUCGAUUCUCUCGGUUCUUUUUGUUGGUUUUUAACCCGAGAAGGAGAAAUUCAGGCCACGGUGUCUGAGUUGGGUUUCCCUGGGCUUCGGCUCAGGCCCCAAUUAGGCCGUGUCCUUACGGGAUCAAUAGGGACUGACGGGGUCGUACCUACUUCCGCGUCAGAGGUGAAAUUCUUAUAUCGCGGGAAGAGGAACUUCUGCGAAAGCAUUCGACAAGAAUGUCUUCAUUAAUCAAGAACGAGAGUGUGGGGAUCGAGGAUGAUCAGAUACCGUCGUAGUCCACUACUGUAAACAAUGCCGUCUCAGGAUUGAGAAGUGAACAGAAUGACUUUCACAGCACUAACCCC
rnacentral:rRNA from 1 species